UGGGGAAUAUUGCACAAUGGAGGGAACUCUGAUGCAGCGACGCCGCGUGACUGAUGAAGGAAUUCGUUUCGUAAAACUCUGUUCUAUGGGAAGAAAAGGACUGUACCAUAGGAGAAAGCUCCGGCUAAAUACGUGCCAGCAGCCGCGGUAAUACGUAUGGAGCGAGCGUUGUCCGGAAUUAUUGGGCGUAAAGGGUGCGCAGGCGGCUUUACAAGUUGGAUGUGAAAUAUUGUGGCUCAACCACAAACGUGCAUCCAAAACUGCAAAGCUUGAGUUAAGGAGAGGUAAGUGGAAUUCCUGGUGUAGCGGUGGAAUGCGUAGAUAUCAGGAGGAAUACCGGUGGCGAAGGCGACUUACUGGACUUAAACUGACGCUCAGGCACGAAAGCGUGGGGAGCAAACAGG
rnacentral:rRNA from 1 species